CACGUAGGGGGCAAGCGUUGUCCGGAUUCAUUGGGCGUAAAGAGCUCGUAGGCGGCUCAGUAAGUCGGGUGUGAAACCCUCAGGCUCAACCUGGGGACGCCACUCGAUACUGCUGUGGCUAGAGUCCAGUAGAGGAGUGUGGAAUUCCCGGUGUAGCGGUGAAAUGCGCAGAUAUCGGGAGGAACACCAACGGCGAAGGCAGCACUCUGGGCUGGAACUGACGCUGAGGAGCGAAAGCGUGGGGAGCGAACAGG
rnacentral:rRNA from 1 species